CCGGGAAUUGCAUCUGAAACUGUUUGGCUUGAGUUCUGGAGGGGAUGGUGGAAUUCCCAGUGUAGCGGUGAAAUGCGUAGAUAUUGGGAGGAACACCUGCGGCGAAGGCGGCCAUCUGGACAGUGACUGACGCUGAGACGCGAAAGCUAGGGGAGCGAACGGGAUUAGAUACCCCGGUAGUCCUAGCUGUAAACGAUGGGCACUUGGUGUUGGGGGUAUUGAGUCCCUCGGUGCCGGAGCUAACGCGAUAAGUGCCCCGCCUGGGGAGUACGGUCGCAAGACUGAAACUCAAAGGAAUUGACGGGGGCCCACACAAGCGGUGGAGCAUGUGGUUUAAUUCGAUGCAACGCGAAGAACCUUACCCAGGUUUGACAUGUGUCGGACAGGUGUGGAAACACACCCUCCCU
rnacentral:rRNA from 1 species